UAGCUCAACUGGUAGAGCAUGGCAUUAACGCUGCCAGGGUCAGGGGUUUGUUUCCUAUUGGGCCA